UACGUAGGGAGCGAGCGUUAUCCGGAUUUAUUGGGUGUAAAGGGUGCGUAGGCGGUUUGAUAAGUCUGUGAUCUAAGCCCGAAGCUUAACUUCGGUUCGUUGCAGAAACUGUCUUACUUGAGCAUGGUAGAGGCAAGUGGAAUUUCUAGUGUAGCGGUUAAAUGCGUAGAUAUUAGAAGGAACACCAGUGGCGAAGGCGACUUGCUGGGCCAUUGCUGACGCUGAGGCACGAAAGCGUGGGGAGC
rnacentral:rRNA from 1 species